AUGGAUCCAAUUUAUGAGGAGGCGUCAAAAUACCUUCUGACAAUACAAAUGCGCAACCAAUGGCAAGUUGUUAGCAAGGAAAAGAAAAAGAUUUAAAACACAAAAACAAAGGAACAAUGAAGAUGGGACACAGUCCAUUGCUAAGGUCUCCGAUAAUUCCAUUACUGUUGCCGCCAAAAAUUCGGUUGAUUACAAAUUCGUACUCUUCUUUUGUCACGUUUCAUUCAGGCCUUUUGUUCUGCGCGCAUAACUUUCAUCAAUAUUCUGUUACUCUUUCCUGUAUAAUUUCCUUUUGUUUAUGUCGCUUGUAUUAGUCUUCACCGCGGAUUUUAUGCAUUCGGAUCAACCGUUGAACUAUUUGAACCGUCUAACUGUUUAAACCGUCUCUAUCGAUCGCUUUACGCCGCUUUACGUUGCUUUACGUCGCUUUACAUCGUCUUUAAUUUGGCAGUUGACCCAGAUCUCGGCGACAUUUCCAUUUGGAAGUGAGGUUGGACAUGUCUGUGACGAGCAUUUUUUGCUACAACACUGAUGUACAACCCUAUCAAUUGGAGCUUCCUCAACAAAGACAAGUAUAUGUUGUAAAAAGCUAGAAAAAGACGUUGGCCAUCGAGCAGUGGUCAAGUUGUUCAGUAGGGCCACCUCAAAAGCUAUAUAGAACAACUUCAAAGCUAACCUGGAGCAUUCGCCGGACCAAGACAUUCUCUAUGUCGGCUCCAAUAACCUUAAAUAUAAAAACUGUUGCAAGAUGCUGAAUCGAUCGUAGACAAAUCGAAGAUUCAUUCUCCGCCAUAUUUAAGCUUACUUCUACAAGGUGCAAGGGAUGAAUUCAAUGGAGCAGUGAAAGAUGCCGAUAAACAUCUAAAGAGCUAUUGCCGUCAGAAUGGAUGGGAACUUAUCCAGCAUCUAAAGAUCACAGAGAAUGGCCUAAACAAGGGAGGACUGCAUCUUAGUUAUAAAGAAUGGUUUGGGACUUUUUACUGGUCAUCUCAGAGGACAAUCGCUACCACAAGAGAAAAGCCUUGGCAAGUUAGUUGUCAGGUUGAUUGUAGUUUGCUAGAAAUGUAUCUCAUGAGCUCCCUAUCAAUACAUGUGCCUCACGUAAAAAUUAUACAUAGAUAUACAUAUAGGAAGUCUGUGUUUU